rnacentral:rRNA from 1 species
GCGGAGACUACCAUGCAGUCGAGCGGAUGAAGGGAGCUUGCUCCUGGAUUCAGCGGCGGACGGGUGAGUAAUGCCUAGGAAUCUGCCUGGUAGUGGGGGAUAACGUCCGGAAACGGGCGCUAAUACCGCAUACGUCCUGAGGGAGAAAGUGGGGGAUCUUCGGACCUCACGCUAUCAGAUGAGCCUAGGUCGGAUUAGCUAGUUGGUGGGGUAAAGGCCUACCAAGGCGACGAUCCGUAACUGGUCUGAGAGGAUGAUCAGUCACACUGGAACUGAGACACGGUCCAGACUCCUACGGGAGGCAGCAGUGGGGAAUAUUGGACAAUGGGCGAAAGCCUGAUCCAGCCAUGCCGCGUGUGUGAAGAAGGUCUUCGGAUUGUAAAGCACUUUAAGUUGGGAGGAAGGGCAGUAAGUUAAUACCUUGCUGUUUUGACGUUACCAACAGAAUAAGCACCGGCUAACUUCGUGCCAGCAGCCGCGGUAAUACGAAGGGUGCAAGCGUUAAUCGGAAUUACUGGGCGUAAAGCGCGCGUAGGUGGUUCAGCAAGUUGGAUGUGAAAUCCCCGGGCUCAACCUGGGAACUGCAUCCAAAACUACUGAGCUAGAGUACGGUAGAGGGUGGUGGAAUUUCCUGUGUAGCGGUGAAAUGCGUAGAUAUAGGAAGGAACACCAGUGGCGAAGGCGACCACCUGGACUGAUACUGACACUGAGGUGCGAAAGCGUGGGGAGCAAACAGGAUUAGAUACCCUGGUAGUCCACGCCGUAAACGAUGUCGACUAGCCGUUGGGAUCCUUGAGAUCUUAGUGGCGCAGCUAACGCGAUAAGUCGACCGCCUGGGGGAGUACGGCCGCAAGGUUAAAACUCAAAUGAAUUUGACGGGGGGCCCGCACAAGCCGGUGGAGCAUGUGGGUUAAUUUCNANCUACCCCGAAAAACCUUUACCUGGCCCUUGACAUGGUUGAGAACUUUUC